UACGGGGGGGGGCAAGCGUUGUUCGGAAUUACUGGGCGUAAAGGGCGCGUAGGCGGUGCUCUAAGUCGGAUGUGAAAACUCUGGGCUCAACCCAGAGCCUGCAUCCGAAACUGGAGUGCUAGAGUUCUGGAGGGGGUAGCGGAAUUCCUGGUGUAGCGGUGAAAUGCGUAGAUAUCAGGAGGAACACCGGUGGCGAAGGCGGCUCACUGGCCCGAUACUGACGCUGAGGUGCGAAAGCGUGGGGAGCAAACAGG
rnacentral:rRNA from 1 species